rnacentral:pre_miRNA from 1 species
AGUGGAACUGCUGGAUCAUAAGGUAAAUGCAUUUUAACUUUUUAAGAAGCUGCCAAACUGUUUCCCAGAGUGACUGUACCAUUAUGCAUUUCCAUCAGCAAU